UUGUGACACAUGUCCAAAUUUAA
rnacentral:snRNA from 1 species